rnacentral:miRNA from 1 species
AUUCCCUCGAUAUAUACCGAUAGA